AGCAGCCGCGGUAAUUCCAGCUCCAAUAGCGUAUAUUAAAGUUGUUGCAGUUAAAAAGCUCGUAGUUGAAUUUCGGGAUCAGAUUGUCGGUCGUGCCUCGGUACGCACUGGCAUUAUUGGUUCCUACCUUCUGAAGAACCGCGAUGUCAUUAAUUUGGUGUCGUGGGGAAUCAGGACUGUUACUUUGAAAAAAUUAGAGUGUUUAAAGCAGGCGCACGCUUGAAUACAUUAGCAUGGAAUAAUGAAAUAGGACGUUUGAUUCUAUUUUGUUGGUUUCUAGGAUCGACGUAAUGAUUAAUAGGGAUAGUUGGGGGCAUUAGUAUUCAAUUGUCAGAGGUGAAAUUCUUGGAUUUAUUGAAGACUAACUACUGCGAAAGCAUUUGCCAAGGAUGUUUUCAUUAAUCAAGAACGAAAGUUAGGGGAUCGAAGACGAUCAGAUACCGUCGUAGUCUUAACCAUAAACUAUGCCGACUAGGGAUCGGACGAAGUUAAUUUUAUAAUGACGCGUUCGGCACCUUAC
rnacentral:rRNA from 1 species